GAUGAAGAACGUAGCGAAACGCGAUAUGUAAUGUGAAUUGCAGAAUUCAGUGAAUCAUCGAAUCUUUGAACGCACAUGGCGCCUUCCAGUAUCCUGGGAGGCAUGCCUGUCCGAGCGUCGUUUCAACCCUCGAGCCCUCGUGGCCCGGCGUUGGGGAUCUGCCACGGCAGGCCCCGAAAUACAGUGGCGGACCCGUUAGGCCCUUCCUUUGCGUAGUAGCAUCAGCCUCGCAUCGGGAGCCGGCGGGCUCUCCUGCCUCUAAACCCCCCAACAAGCCCGCUCCGGCGGCACCAAGGUUGACCUCGGAUCAGGUAGGAAUACCCACUGAACUUAAGCAUAUCAAUAAGCGGAGG
rnacentral:misc_RNA from 1 species